GGUACAAUAAUCCCUUACUUCAAUGCAGUCACAAAAACAGAAGAAUAUCCAGUCCAAAAGGAAGCAAAAAAUCCAAAAGGAGAAUCAAUGAUCUUCAAACAAAAACUCUGGAAAAAACUUUCAAAAACAAACACAGAAAAAUACUCCAAAAGGCACAGGAGAAAACAUCUUUAGAACAAGAGCAAACUUACAACUGGCUUAGGAAACCACAAUAACCAAGCGAAGAUACAGGGAAAGAGUACAGCUUAAAUACACAGAACAGAAGGAGACACAUAUGAAAACAAUAAAACUGAUUACUAAAGGUGAAAGUUUUAGACAUGAGAGUUUAAUGGCCACCUCUAGUGGCCAAAAUAAAGCAUUACAAAGCAAAAACUCUGAGGGUUUAAAACCAUCUCUUCCGUGUCCUGCAGUUGAGCUGUUGCGACUUUGGGCCAGUCGCACUCCUCCUGUCUCCUCUCCAGCCACCAGACCUCCAUUACACAUUGUGCAUUAUUUUCUAUUCUGUUAUAUAUUUUCUUUUCUUUACAGUGAUGUAGCUCGGUAGGGUUGACCUGCCCUUUUCUUUUGAAAUUAAGUUCGCUCUGUUUUUGUUGGUGUAGUAAGGGUAAUUUGUUGUAUUUUGAUUUUGAUAUUUUGAGGGAAGUUAUUUUGGAUAUUUUUGUUUAUUACCCAUGGGUGGGGGAGGCAUUUUUUCUUUCUUUUUUUUAUUUAUUGCGAUUUAACCUAGACGGAUCGUAAUAAAAUGGGGGCUCGUCCGUUUUUUCCCCCUCUUUGUUCGUUAGGCCAUUUGUUGCUCGUUCGUCUGAAUUUCUAUCGUUUUCGGAAAGAAACGUAGGAUAUCUUACUGGCUCGGACAAAGCAGGAAAUUAGAGAAACAUUGUGUGAAAAGUUGGUGAAUAUCGGAGUUUUGGAGGGUGAUGAAUCCAGUCCAGAUUUUCCACAUUCCGAAGCAGGUGUGCAGGACGCGGAAGUUCCUUUUGGAGAUUCUGUUGAGGAGUACACUCUACCCAGGCCUGAGUGGAGAUUUGCCUGAUCUGUCCUUCAGCUUUCCAUCAAGCCGCUGGCACUGGUAGUAGGAUUGAGCAAGUUUGAGAACGAGCACAAACAGAGUCCAUGCAGACUGAUGUAGAUGCAAUUAAAACUGUCUUUCUUUAUUUAUGCUCCAAUAAACAUUGUCU